rnacentral:lncRNA from 13 species
GUGGCCAUUAAGAACCACCUCCGAGGUUGUGGACCUGAAGUGACAAAUGGUCUGAGGGGCUCUGACUGAGGAAGCAGCUUAGACACUAUUAUUUCUAGAAGGAAUAGAUCUUUGCCUCUGUGGCCUGAGCAGGGAAUCUCUGGGAAAGCUGCUCUGCUUUGCCUGGUGAGCUGCAGGCCAGCCCCCACAGUGCAGCCACCAUCCACAGGGAACUAGGACUCUUGCCUGUUUUGAGCUGAACUCGUUCCAUCUCUUUUGACUUUGACUUCCUGGUCACGGUGAGAGGCACCUCAUAGUGUGGCUGAGAGCACAGAUUUUGGAGCCGAGCAACUGGGCUAAACCCCCAGCUCUGCCACCCACCUGCACUGGAACCUCAGAAUGUCUCUGAAGCACUCCCUGCCUCAGUUUCCCCCACUUGCAAACAACGGUGCACUUAUCCCAGAGAUCUGCAUGAAGGCAUGACAGUGAACAGGUCUCCACAGACCCAGAAGAAUCCUGCACUGGUAACUAGCUUGAGGAGGACUGACAUCCCUUUCUGCAACAGCCCCACUACGAUACUCUCCCAACUUGCCCUUCACCUCAGAAGCCCUACAGCUGGAGACUGAGAGCCCUACAGCUGGAGACUGAGAGCCCUACAGCUGGAGACUGAGAGCCCUACAGCUGGAGACUGAGAGCCCUACAGCUAGAGACUGAGAGGCGCAUGGGGGCAGAUUCAUCAACUUGCUCCUGCAAAUGAAAAAUCCAUUCAGGCUCAGAUAGAUCCAGUGACUUGCCCCAGCAGUUGAAGGGUUUUCUACCCAGCAUGCGUUCUAGAUCUGGAGUCCAUGGACUGGCUGCUGUGGUCCAGUGGACUGUGAAGUCCUAGGGAAGA